UAACACUUAUGUUGUAUUACUCAAACAUGCAACUAAAUGUUACAACAUGUUUAUCACAUAUAUAUUAGCUAAAACAUGCUAUGCUUAGUCAGUUGUUGAUUACUUUUCAAUGCUUUUCCUGGGCCUAGUCAGGGUAGCAGGAUCUUUAAAUGUUUCAUACUAUAGUUAGCGAUGUUAAAUUUUUUUAUGUGUCCUAGAUCAGCUAGAUAAGCCAGCGACUAGAUGGAAUGCUUUAUAAAAAAGGUAUAUAAUGCACUGUGCCGCC